AUCUAUGGUCAUGCCACCCUGAACAUGCCCAAUCUUAGAAGCUAAGCAGGACUAGGCCUGGUUAGUACUUGGAUAGGCAUCAGCCUAGGAAUACUGCUGUAGGUG
rnacentral:rRNA from 1 species